UAGUUUUUAAUCAUGACAGAUAAAAAAGAAAGUUUUCUGUAGAUUGUAAUUUUUUUAUUUCAUUAAUCAUUAAUAAAAAUAAUAAAACUCGUCUUUUUUAUCAAUUGGUUAUUAGAACAUUUAUGUCAUAAUGUUAAUUAUCAUGUAAUUUCGAUAAUGAUUAAAUAAUAAACACAUAAAUAGCAAAAAAUGUGGAACGCUUCACGAUUUUGCGUGUCAUCCUUGCGCAGGGGCCAUGCUAAUCUUCUCUGUAUCGUUCCAAUUUUAGUAUAUGUACUGCCGAAGCAAGUACGAUGAAGUUUUUCUACAACAUUGCUUAUAUACGGAAUGAUACAUUCAAGUGUACUAACGAGAAAAACAGAAAGUUACAUAUUCUCAUCGUCUAGCGGUGAAAUUAGGCACUACGUUCGCGACAUAACCUCAAGAAUAGGCGUGGAGUAUCAAAUGCUGUAGAUAACAUCUUACAAGUAAAAAUAGGAAAUUAUUUAAUGAUUAAUCAAAUAUAAAAUUACUUUUGAGAAAUCUUUAUGCAAUGAAUUUAAUUUGAAGAUAUUAUGAGAGUUUUAUAAUUCAGGAAAUUAUAAAAUCUAAAAAGAGGUUUAAAACGAUCUAUUGGGAAUUAUGCAAUUGAAAGGCUGGAGAUAUGAGAAAAUUCGAGAACGAGCUCUUUCAAACAGACCUACAUAAUUUAACUAUAAAAUUUAUUUGGAAGUUUCUAUAAAAUUGAACAUGUUAAUUACAUGUUAUGUAAAGUUUCUUUCUGUACUCUUAGGAAAAUUUUGUCUAAAGGAUAGGUAUUAGAAACAGAUAUAAAAUUAAAAUGACUUGUUUGUUGUACAAAAUAAAUGUUAAUAUUUAUUAAAA